rnacentral:misc_RNA from 1 species
AAGUCGUAACAAGGUUUCCGUAGGUGAACCUGCGGAAGGAUCAUUAACGCAUUCUUGCUUAAUUGCAUCUAACCUUUUAUCAACCCCUUUAGCGAACUGAAAAAGGAGAGGUUAAAGAGGAAACUCUUUAGCUCAUCUUUUUUCUUAUACCCAUUUUUUUUUAACUAUAAACCCCAUAACUUUAUAUUUUUAGUCUGAUCUAAACCUAGAUUUUUAUCUAACGCUGAAACAACUCUUAGCAACGGAUAUCUAGGCUCUC